rnacentral:rRNA from 1 species
UACGAAGGGGGCUAGCGUUGCUCGGAAUUACUGGGCGUAAAGCGCACGUAGGCGGCCAUGAUAGUCAGAUGUGAAAGGCCUGGGCUUAACCCGGGAACUGCAUUUGAUACUGCAUGGCUAGAGUCCGAGAGAGGGUAGUGGAAUUCCCAGUGUAGAGGUGAAAUUCGUAGAUAUUGGGAAGAACACCAGUGGCGAAGGCGGCUACCUGGCUUGGAACUGACGCUCAGGUGCGAAAGCGUGGGGAGCGAACAGG